AUGGCCGAUAUCUUGUACCAAUCCCUCCUAAUCUCGGCCGUCGCCGUGGUGCUACUCCACAUCCUUAGGCUCUCUCUGCAGCCCAAGGUGAGGAACCCGCCAGGUCCAUGGAAGCUGCGGGUCAUCGGCAGCAUGCACCACCUCGUGAAUGUGCUCCCGCACCGUGCCCUCAGGGCUCUCGCCAGCAUACACGGCCCACUCAUGAUGCUCCAGCUCGGGGAGACCCCUCUCGUCGUCGUGUCGUCAAGGGAGAUGGCCCGCGAGGUGCUCAGGACGCACGACGCCAACUUCGCCACCCGCCCCAGGCUCCUCACCGAAUACAAUUACAAUGUUUAACACUCUGACAUCGUCUUUUCGCCAUCUGGCACGUACUGGCGCAAGCUCCGGCAGCUCUGCGCCGCCGAAAUACUGAGCCCGAGUCGUGUUCGUUCUAUCCACCAUAUUAGGGAGCAAGAGACGAGGAGUCACGUGGAAAACAUUCAUGCGGCCGGGCCAUCAACGCAGGUGGACGUCACCAUGACUUUCUUCGAACUAACGAGUAGUAUCGUCUCCCGCGCAUCCUUCGGGAACAAGCACAGAAACGUCCAGGAGUUCCUGUCGGCGAUAAAGUCCGGGGGCGCACUGGCCGGCGGUUUCAAAAUCCCCGAUCUCUUCCCAACAUGGCGGUCCGUGCUCGCUAUGGUGACCGACAUGCGCCGCACCCUGGAGGAUGUGCACAGGACGUUGGACUCCACCCUGGAGGAGGUCAUACAAGAGAGGCAAGGUGUUCGAGACAGGGUUGGAUCCAGUUCAUGGGCCUCGGCCGUCGAGGAGAACCUGGUCGACGUUCUCAUGGGACUGCAAGAGAAAGGUGGCAUCGGUUUCCACCUAAAUAGAAACAACAUAAAGGGUGUCAUACUUGACUUGUUCGUGGCUGGAACUGGCACAUUGACGUCAUCACUAGAUUGGGGCAUGUCUGAGUUGGUGCGGAACCCAAGGGUGAUGGACAAGCUACAGUGCAAGAUUCGGGAGGCGUUCCGUGGCAAGGCGGCCAUUAGUGAGGGUGACAUCGAGGCAAGGGACCUCCCCCAUUUGAAGCUUGUGGUCAAGGAGAACAUCCGGCUGCACCCGUCAGUGCCACUCCUGGUGCCCCGGGAGAGCGUGGACCCUUGUCAGGUCAACGGAUACAUGAUUCCCGCCGGUUCGCGCGUCGUUGUAAAUGUGUGGGCUAUUGGGAGAGAUCCAAGGUAUUGGGAGGAUGUCGAGGAAUUCAAGCCCGAGCGGUUUGAGGACAGCUCCCUCGAUUUCAUGGGGAGCAACUAUGAGUUUCUACCAUUCGGGUCCGGCCGGAGGAUGUGCCCCGGCAUUUCCUACGGGCUCGCCGUCUUGCAAAUGGCCUUCGUUCAGCUCUGCUACCACUUCAACUGGUCCCUGCCUGAGGGCAUCUCCGAGGUUGACAUGACAGAGGGGGGUGGCCUCGGUCUGCGCCGCAAGUCGCCACUGCGGCUCUGUGCCACGCCAUUCAUCCCUGAGUCAAUGUCUGCAGUAUAA
rnacentral:rRNA from 1 species